AAAAAACCCAACUAAUUCAGUGUUCUUCAGCAUAUCAACUUCUGCAAUAACACAGUAUGUUUGCCGACUUAAAAAUGUUUAUUCUUUAAAAAAUUAGUUGCUUUUUAUACAGCUAUACAAAGUCUGUAAUGUUUCUUUGGCAAUGGGAUAUAAUGGAAUUUUACAACUAUAUAAAAAGUUUCCUUUGCCUAAGAAACAGUAUUUACUGUGUGUACAUAUCUGACUGACAAAGCAAGUUUUCUACUGUCCAGCACCCUAGUUGAUAAAGUACAACCAUCUCAAAAGGGAUAUUACAGGAUUUCCAAAAAACAACCUUCAGUGGAUCAAAACACUCACAGUAUCGACGGCCUUCUGCAUACAAUUGUCCUUACAACUUGAAGCAAUUAUCAAAUACAGUUUAGUAAUAAGAAAAAUCCUUUCAGUGAUGAAAAAAUACUUAAACUCCAUCGAAGUACUGCUUUAUAAUUAACUAUACAUAAGAAAUUACUUAUCCUUCUGUCUCAAAUAUAUUUAAUGCUCACUGUUUUCAAAGAUGGCCAUUUUUCAAAAUGUAACUGCAUUACACCCCUUUGAAAUUAAAUAGUUAAUUCCCAGUGCUGGUGACAAGUAUACAGCAAAUUAACUUCAUUCUUUGCUGAGAUUGAAACUAAUUCUCUGGAUCAAGAAGAUCUAGACGUUCACGCAGUUUCAGCUUUCCUGUAGACUAUGCAGCAACUUUGUUGUCUUUCCUAUAUUCAAAGUCAGCAAACUCCCUGCCUCCACGACCUCCUCUGAAACCACCACGAAAUCCACGGGGAGUAGUGAAACCACCUCUUCCACCUCCUCGUCCUCUUCCACCUCGGAAACCAAUCCCCCCUCUGCCUCGGAACCCUCCACGGCCACGAUUAGGACGCAGUGGUAUUCCAAAGGUCUCUGCAUUCAAUCUUCUUUCCUCAGCCCAGGUUGGUCGACGUUCCCUAUUGUCAUCACAGGAGAUGUUAUCAAAGAAGGACUUGGUUUUGUCAUAGUAGCAGUUGGGUCCAAGUGGAUCUUCUUCAUCUGCAUUCCCUUCGCUAUUUUGGGUAUCAACACCUGAGUCACCUUUGUCUUCUCCAUUUACAGGCUUCUCUGGUUUCUCAAGCUUGUCUUCUUUUAGUUUAAGUUUAUUAUGAAAUUCUCUAUCAAUUUCCUCCUUGUUGAAUUGUGCAUUUGCACUUUCGAAAUCGAAGUCCUUCUCAAAUUUCAUUGGACCAUCCCUCCUAAUACCAAACCUUCCUCGGCCUCCUCGGUGACCUCCACGGCCUCUCCGUGCUGAAGGAGCACCUGGAACUCGUCUGUGCUCUUGACUCUCUAAUGAUUUUUGACUAGCAGACACCAUAGGUCUGGCUGGCACAGGACUCCUCCUCCCAACUGGUGCCGGAGCAGGCAAGUGCGCUGAAGCUGUUUGUACUGCUUGUUCCAUGGUGGGGCUCC
rnacentral:lncRNA from 1 species